GGAUCCAGACUUUGAUCCGGCUCAGGAUGAACGCUAGCUACAGGCUUAACACAUGCAAGUCGAGGGGAAACGACAUCGAAAGCUUGCUUUUGAUGGGCGUCGACCGGCGCACGGGUGAGUAACGCGUAUCCAACCUGCCCACCACUUGGGGAUAACCUUGCGAAAGUAAGACUAAUACCCAAUGAUAUCCCACGAAGGCAUCCGAAUGGGAUUAAAGAUUUAUCGGUGAUGGAUGGGGAUGCGUCUGAUUAGCUUGUUGGCGGGGUAACGGCCCACCAAGGCGACGAUCAGUAGGGGUUCUGAGAGGAAGGUCCCCCACAUUGGAACUGAGACACGGUCCAAACUCCUACGGGAGGCAGCAGUGAGGAAUAUUGGUCAAUGGGCGAGAGCCUGAACCAGCCAAGUAGCGUGCAGGACGACGGCCCUAUGGGUUGUAAACUGCUUUUAUAAGGGAAUAAAGUGAGUCUCGUGAGACUUUUUGCAUGUACCUUAUGAAUAAGGACCGGCUAAUUCCGUGCCAGCAGCCGCGGUAAUACGGAAGGUCCGGGCGUUAUCCGGAUUUAUUGGGUUUAAAGGGAGCGUAGGCCGGAGAUUAAGCGUGUUGUGAAAUGUAGAGGCUCAACCUCUGCACUGCAGCGCGAACUGGUCUUCUUGAGUACGCACAACGUGGGCGGAAUUCGUGGUGUAGCGGUGAAAUGCUUAGAUAUCACGAAGAACUCCGAUUGCGAAGGCAGCUCACGGGAGCGCAACUGACGCUGAAGCACGAAAGUGCGGGUAUCGAACAGGAUUAGAUACCCUGGUAGUCCGCACGGUAAACGAUGGAUG
rnacentral:rRNA from 1 species